rnacentral:rRNA from 1 species
UACGGAGGAUCCGAGCGUUAUCCGGAUUUAUUGGGUUUAAAGGGUGCGCAGGUUGUUUGAUAAGUCAGUGGUGAAAGUCUGUCGCUUAACGGUAGGAUUGCCAUUGAUACUGUUAGACUUGAAUAUGGAUGAGGUAGGCGGAAUGUGUAGUGUAGCGGUGAAAUGCAUAGAUAUUACACAGAACACCGAUUGCGAAGGCAGCUUACUAAUCCAUCAUUGACGCUGAGGCACGAAAGUGUGGGGAGGCAAACAGGA